AGGAGAAGGGGGGAAGUGGGGGAAAUGGUAGUAAAGUUUUAUAAGACACGUCUCUCUCUCUCUUGCUGCAGAUACCUCCCGAACUCAAAAGACAUGUCCACCCAUCUCCCUUGCCUUACCUCUCUUCUCGGCAAGGUUGGGAGAUGCAGGAAUAAAGGAUCCCUAUCCCUGAAUUCGGACCUUACUUCAUCGUGGCUCUCACUUCCACACCCGCCCGUACCUCUGCUCCCUCCACCGCCAAGUCGCCAAUAUUUCUGAUGCCAGAGCCUCAACAUUAUGCAGAAUUUAAUUACAUUCCGUUUUCAUCGAUUCAUAGGUUUUUGGAAGAAGCAGAGGAAAUUACCCCUGCCCAUGGCUCCCUGAAUCUCUCGUAUACAAGUCAGAUGCCAUGAAAAUCAUCCCUGUCCAUGGCUCCCUGAAUCUCUUCGAUACAAGUCGGAUCCCAUCGAAAUCAUCCCUGCCCGUUAUCCCAGAUUUCAUUCACAAGGUCAGAAUCUAAACUUCAAUCUCAAGGACAAAUUUGUGAUCAUUUACAAUAAUUCCUGGUUCAUUAGUUUCUUCUCUACCUGUAUAAUUUAUUAGAUCCUAUCAUCUACCGGAGGAGCUAAAAAGAAUUAUCAGUCUUCAUACCCCUUACUGCCCACUACAGAGUGGUUUUCUAACUUUGUACAUGGUUGGGAUUUUGCUCGUGAGAGUAGACUUUCUUAGCAAAUUAUAUUCAUACUGUUCUGAUAUUGAUUAAUGUUUCUCUGCUGUUAUUCCCAUAGAAAAAUAGUUGACUACUUAAGUAGCAACUGGAGUACAAACAUGAAUAUUUUGAAAAAUUAGAAAAGCUUCAUUUUUCUUACUCUAUUAAUCCUUGGAUGCAAUUUUGAUCCAAUAAGUGAUCCCAUAUCUCUCUGUUUGUUAAAAUUGUACAAUUGGGGUACUGUCUUACUUUAAUGGCUCUCCAUAAUAGAUCAUCAUUUCCUCCUCAUGGGUUUUAAUUUUUGGAACACUUUCUAUUCGGCAUAUCAAGAGGAGAAGCUAGAUUUAACAAACCGUUUCAGAACUUAGUAACUUAGAUGAAAAAAACAUUGAAGUGAGCACAUGGAUUCAAAAUAUUAAAAUUCCUAUUGAAGUGUUAAAUGAUUUAUAUCACUCUAGAUUCUCCACUAAGUGACUUAAAGUGCAUUCUUUCAAUUUCAUGGGCAUAGGUGCUUAUGGGCAACUGUAAGGAUUACUAACUUAAAAAAAUAAAAAAGAAAAGAAGAAUUUCUGUUGAAGAUAA